rnacentral:rRNA from 1 species
GAUGAACGCUAGCGGGAGGCCUAACACAUGCAAGCCGAGCGGUAGAGUUUCUUCGGAAACUUGAGAGCGGCGCACGGGUGCGUAACACGUGUGCAACCUACCUUUAUCUGGGGGAUAGCCUUUCGAAAGGAAGAUUAAUACCCCAUAAUAUAAUGAUUGGCAUCAAUUAUUAUUGAAAACUCCGGUGGAUAGAGAUGGGCACGCGCAAGAUUAGAUAGUUGGUGAGGUAACGGCUCACCAAGUCAAUGAUCUUUAGGGGUCCUGAGAGGGAGAUCCCCCACACUGGUACUGAGACACGGACCAGACACCUACGGGCGGCAGCAGUGAGGAAUAUUGGACAAUGGGUGAGAGCCUGAUCCAGCCAUCCCGCGUGAAGGAUGACGGUCCUAUGGAUUGUAAACUUCUUUUGUACAGGGAUAAACCUACCCUCGUGAGGGUAGCUGAAGGUACUGUACGAAUAAGCACCGGCUAACUCCGUG